UUAAUUUUUAUAUUUCAAUUGAAUUUAUUUUUUAAAGUUCCCUACAUUUUCACUCCUACACUUCCUCCUUUUUUUUUCUUUUUUUUUUUUUUAAUCAAUAAUCCAUAUUUAGAACAGCUCUUGGGAAGGUACACAGAGGUUAGUGAGGGAGUUUGAUCUCUGGGCACCCCUGCAAGAGGAGAUUUGCAGUGUUUUGCACAUCAGUAGCAGUAGAUGCUUGGACGAUUAGUGGAAACUUGCUGAGGAGCACCUUUACUCUUUCCAUCCCCUGUGAACCAUGAUAAGUGACUGAAUGUGCUUAUGGGUCACUUGAAUUUCUGGUGCUUCCCGUGUGCCGUAGGUAGCCUCUACUCUCCUUUUUUUAUAAGACCUACACUUUGCAUGUCCUCUGUGGUUUUAAGUUUUCUGUCUAUCACGCUGUAAUGUUCCUGUAUUCAGUGCUGCUUCAAGCAGCAGUGCAAGCAAUACGGUGGUGGUGGUGCAGAGCUUGGUGUGUCCCAGCUGCUUGGGUACUUACCCAGCAUCUCAGGCAGGCUGGGGGCUGCAUUUGAGUUCUUCAUCUCUUCAGCCUCGUGAAGAGCACUCUACUUAAGCUGCUGGUUUUCAAGGUGGCAGCUUUGCAGCGGUGGUUGCAGUGGUUUCCAGCAGUACGUGCCAAUGGAAUUUCUUCCAGAUACUUCUUCAGACAGGAAAUCUUAACAUGGCAUGUAGCAGCUCCUGAGUGUCUGCAAUUUGCUUUUUGACUUAUCAACAUAAUUUGUGAUUUUUCAGUUAAUAAGCCCCAGACUCCAGUAGUUCAAUGCAUGUCCAAUUCAGCCUCAUCCUGGUUGGGAGGAUUAUGGUAACCUCUGGCAGAAGAGCAAGUGGUAGGCUGGGAGUGAUGACUUCUGUAGCUGUCCCAGUGCCAAAUGUGAUGCAACAGGUUGAAGCUGGUUUGAGAACAUCUGUGAGCUGCACUUCAGGAAAUGACAACUCUGCAGAGCUCCAAUGUGAAGAUUACUCUGUGAAAGUUCUCAGAGCAUCUUGAGUGAACGCAAGAGUUCAGCCCCUCCUUCAGGACCCUUUGUAAUUGAUAUAUUCUGGAAGAAAAAAGGAGAAAUAUAACCACGCUGUGCGGAAUUGCAGCUCUUUCAGAGAGCUGUUUCUCUACUAUUCCUGACAUCGAAAUGGACAGAAUGGAAACCAGCAGAGUCUGACCGUCACGGCUGUUGCUUUAUGUGUCCCGUUACACAACCAGUUUGAAUUCCUUCUGCUUAUUAGCUCUCUGUGAAGUCCAAGAUUUAAACUGGCAAUUCUGAGAAUGCUCAAGGAUAGAUAAAGACCGCUUCCGAAUGGCUUCUUAGACAGACCUGGUAUUCCUGCUUCUCGAGUGCUCCAAGUCCUUGUCAUCAAGCUGACUCCUGUGGCCUUUCUACCCUGUGCGCAUACUCUGCAGUCAAGGAAAUGAAAUCAAGAAUGGUGCAUGAUGCCAAUUUUUAAAAUUUUAUUAACAGCAGAGAAAUAUUUCUUGGAGAAAAGUUGAGUUUUACCACCUGUGUUGUCAGUCCUGAAGAUAGUUUUCUGGGAGGACCUGGGCAAAUUUCUUCACAGCACUCCACCUCAGCUUUCUUCUGCAUAAAAUGGGGAUAAUAAUGCUUUAUCCAGCCUAGAAAAAUGUUCGAAGUGCAAACAGAAAACCUGGUGAUAAGAAUGAAAGCUGUUCUAUCUGAGCUAAAUCUUGGAGCCUUGUUGAGGUUUUUACAAAGUAGGUUUUGAUGU